GCGAAUGGCUCAUUAAAUCAGUUAUCGUUUAUUUGAUAGUACCUUACUACUUGGAUAACCGUGGUAAUUCUAGAGCUAAUACAUGCUAAAAACCCCGACUUUUGGAGGGGUGUAUUUAUUAGAUAAAAAACCAAUGCCCUUCGGGGCUCCUUGGUGAUUCAUAAUAACUUAACGAAUCGCAUGGCCUUGUGCCGGCGAUGGUUCAUUCAAAUUUCUGCCCUAUCAACUUUCGAUGGUUAGGUCUUGGCUAACCAUGGUUUCAACGGGUAACGGGGAAUUAGGGUUCUAUUCCGGAGAGUGAGCCUGAGAAACGGCUAACACAUCCAAGGAAGGCAGCAGGCGCGCAAAUUACCCAAUCCCGACACGGGGAGGUAGUGACAAUAAAUACUGAUCCAGGGCUCUUUUGGGUCUUGGAAUUGGAAUGAGUACAAUUUAAAUCCCUUAACGAGGAACAAUUGGAGGGCAAGUCUGGUGCCAGCAGCCGCGGUAAUUCCAGCUCCAAUAGCGUAUAUUAAAGUUGUUGCAGUUAAAAAGCUCGUAGUUGAACCUUGGGUUUGGCUGGUCGGUCCGCCUCACCGCGUGUACUGGUCCGGCCGAACCUUUCCUUCUGGGGAAUCGCAUGCCCUUCACUGGGUGUGUCGAGGAUCCAGGACUUUUACUUUGAAAAAAUUAGAGUGUUCAAAGCAGGCCUAUGCUCGAAUACAUUAGCAUGGAAUAAUAGAAUAGGACGUGUGGUUCUAUUUUGUUGGUUUCUAGGACCGCCGUAAUGAUUAAUAGGGAUAGUCGGGGGCAUCAGUAUUCAAUUGUCAGAGGUGAAAUUCUUGGAUUUAUUGAAGACUAACUACUGCGAAAGCAUUUGCCAAGGAUGUUUUCAUUAAUCAGUGAACGAAAGUUAGGGGAUCGAAGACGAUCAGAUACCGUCGUAGUCUUAACCAUAAACUAUGCCGACUAGGGAUCGGGCGAUGUUACUUUUUUGACUCGCUCGGCACCUUACGAGAAAUCAAAGUCUUUGGGU
rnacentral:rRNA from 1 species